GGAGCGUCCGUGCUGGCCGGAUACGGUACUGGGUUAUACUGGGUUAUACUGGGAGAGACUGGGUUAUACUGGGUUAUACUGGGAGACACUGGGAGGGACUGGGAGGGACUGGGUUAUACUGGUUUAUACUGGUUUAUACUGGGAGGGACUGGGAGAGACUGGGUUAUACUGGGUUAUACUGAUUUAUACUGGGUUAUACUGGUUUAUACUGGGUUAUACUGGUUUAUACUGGUUUGUACUGGUUUAUACUGGUCCAUACCAGUCCAUACUGGUCCAUACUGGUCCAUACUGGUCUAUACUGGUUUGUACUGGUUUAUACUGGUUUAUACUGGUUUAUACUGGUUUCUAUGGAUUUUUAUUGGUUUUUUUCGGUCCAUACUGGUUUGUACUGGUUUAUACUGGUUUGUACUCGUUUAUACUGGUUUCUACGGAUUUUUGCGGGUUUUUUUUUGGUCCAUACUGGUUUAUACUGGUCCGUACUGGUUUAUACUGGUCCAUACUGGUCCAUACUGGUUUAUACUGGUCCAUACUGGUUUAUACUGGUCCCUACUGGUUUAUACUGGUCCGUACUGGUUUCCCACAGACGUCAUUGGCUGCGCUGACCCCCAGGGCUGCUCCC
rnacentral:lncRNA from 1 species